rnacentral:rRNA from 1 species
AUUGAACGCUGGCGGCAAGCCUAACACAUGCAAGUCGAACGCGUGGCGGACGGGUGAGUCAUGUCUGGGAAACUGCCUGAUGGAGGGGGAUAACUACUGGAACCGGUAGAUAAUACCGAAUACCAUAGGAUGUGCCCAGAUGGGAUUAGCUAGUAGGUGGGGUAAAGGCUCACCUAGGCGACUAUCCCUAGCUGGUCUGAGAGUAUGACCAGCCACACGGGAACGUGGACACGGCCCAGACUCCUACGGGAGGCAGCAUUGGGGACUAUUCCACAAUGGCCGCCAGACUGAUGCAGCCAUGCCGCGUGUAGGAAGAAGGCCUUUGGCGUGUAAAGUACGUUCAGCGGGGCGGCGUUACCCGCAGAAGAAGCACCGGCUAACGCCGUGCCAGCCGCCGCGGUAAUUC